UGGGGAAUCUUGCACAAUGGGGGAAACCCUGAUGCAGCGACGCCGCGUGAGUGAUGAAGCCCUUCGGGGUGUAAAGCUCUUUCGGCAGGAACGAUAAUGACGGUACCUGAAGAAGAAGCUGCGGCUAACUACGUGCCAGCAGCCGCGGUAAUACGUAGGCAGCAAGCGUUGUUCGGAGUUACUGGGCGUAAAGAGUGUGUAGGCGGUUCUCUAAGUUCGGUGUGAAAUCUCCCGGCUCAACUGGGAGGGUGCGCCGGAAACUGGAGGGCUUGAGUAUGGGAGAGGAAAGCGGAAUUCCUGGUGUAGCGGUGAAAUGCGUAGAUAUCAGGAGGAACACCUGCGGUGUAGACAGCUUUCUGGACCAUCACUGACGCUGAGACACGAAAGCGUGGGUAGCAAACAGGAUUAGAUACCCUGGUAGUCCACGCCCUAAACGAUGCAUACUUGGUGUGAGCCGUUCAUUCGGUUCGUGCCGGAGCUAACGCGUUAAGUAUGCCGCCUGGGGAGUACGGUCGCAAGGCUG
rnacentral:rRNA from 1 species